AGUCUGUGGUGCCUGCCCGUAAUUAAUUCACUGCCUGGCGAAGGCAGGUCAGCCACUCAGGCUGGGAGAGGAAGCUCUAGAGAAAAGCAGAGGCACAGUAACGGGCUGGAAAUGAGUUCGCCCCGUCGCCCGGACCUGCCGCAGCUCGAGGACCGGAAUAAAUACAUACAAAUCCAGGCUUGCCAGGAACUUGGCCUUGCUGGCAGCAGAAGGGGAGGUCCCCAGGGCUUCGACCUGCUUAAUGCGCAUCAGAGCAGAGACCAGACCUGACAGGAAGGAUCCAGCUCAGAGAGACCGUGGCUUUCUGAAGCUAGAGGUGGGAUUCGAAUUCAGGACCGAAGGACAUCUGUACCCCUACAUCGCUGGUGCCACCCACUGCCUCACACUCCUCCCAGACGAGGGCCCGGUUGGUGGUCAUCGCAGAAGCGGGCUCUCUAGAACAUUCCAGAGAAUGGCUUUUAGGAGACACAUUAUCAUCUUUAGGGAGAUGUUGGUAUUUUUUGAGGAUGGGCUGACGUUCAAGGGCUCUAUCAGCCAGUCCUGGAUGCCUGUGCCUGGCCCCCUUCUAGGGACCACAGCAGGAGCGAGAGGGGCAGGAAGGGAGUGGGGGGGGCAGCCUCUGAGUCCCCCCCAACCCCAGAUCCAGGCCAGGUUCAGACUUAACAGCGAGUGAGAUUUCUUAUUUCCUGACUGCCUCUGGGAACAGGAAAACAAGUAACAAUUACGUGCAGCAUUGUCAUUCGGAAGAAAGCUGUCGCUCUCCAUCCAGAAUUUGCAAACAGUUAAUUAAGCCCACGCCAGAGGAACACCUCCAGCAGCCGCCAGCUGCCCCCUCCGCUGUUGCUGGAGGCGAGCAGGCCAGAGGCCCUCGGGAACAGGUCAGGGGCUCCAGCACAUUCCGGGGCUCAGCACCACGCACACCUUCCGGGCACCCGAGCCACGCUCAGUGAUACUGAGGCCGAGCUCCCAGUGAGGCCCCGGGCAGCGGCCUAUUGUGCAGACAGGGGGACGCCCCGGAGAGAGCGGGGUGGACUGGAG
rnacentral:lncRNA from 12 species